UACGUAGGAGGCAAGCGUUGUCCGGAAUUACUGGGCGUAAAGCGUGCGCAGGCGGUUCGUUGUGUCGGCGGUGAAAGCCCCGGGCUUAACCUGGGAAUGGCCGUCGAAACUGGCGAACUGGAGUGUGGCAGAGGGGGGUGGAAUUCCGCGUGUAGCAGUGAAAUGCGUAGAGAUGCGGAGGAACACCGUUGGCGAAGGCAGCCCCCUGGGCUGACACUGACGCUCAGGCACGAAAGCGUGGGGAGCAAACAGG
rnacentral:rRNA from 1 species